AAUAUAUGGAGUGGAACCCACUGUUGCUACUGCACUGUUUGAUACUAUUAUCAGAAUACGCUAGUAAAUGUUUAAUGGUAAUCCAGUCCGCUCUGGUUUUAAUUACUCACCAAUCGCCAUACACUCUUGUUACAAUAAUUGCACGACCAUUUUUAUACAACAGUUGCCGUACCUGUACAAUUAACAAUCAUCAGGAACACCUUACGAAUACUCUAAAUCAUCAGGAAUUUACAAGAUGGUCAGAAAAACACACUAUGUGAUGUAAUAAUGUAGAAACCCUAGCAGAAACCACACGAAAAGGAAUGAGGAGGAUAAAGAUUAAUGGAAUGUCAUAAAAAGCAAUGAUGAAAUUCGGCCAAGUCAGCGAGGGAUAUCGGUGAGUCUUUUGUAUUAAUGAUUUUUUUUAGAAACCGUCAAGUGAGUGUAAAACAAUGCACAUUUCCCCUUGUAUUAAUGAGAUGACACAUCAAGAAGCAAUAGCGACGAGUAAACGAAAAUAUUGGUUAAUGGGGUGGCAUAAGAAACAACAAAGUGGGCGAGAGUCUGGAAGAUUUUUUUAACUGCCAAUUAGUGGAAAAGGGAUUGGCCGGCGAGGUCGAUUUAUAAGAAAAGCAUAGUGGUCCAUGUUUAUGUUUGGUGUGAGUUAUCCUGAAUGAUUCUACUACAAAUUAAAAAUCUUAAAGUCAACAUGGAGUUCUGACGCCACGCCAACAUCUGUGGCAUUAUCAUUUAUAAAAUAAUCAAAAACAAUCAAUCCAAAAAUGUAAUAUUGUAAUUAUAAAUUCACAUUGAUUGAACUUACCUAUUACAAAUUAAAAAUCGAUCUCCUACUAGCUAUAAGCUAUCUAUCCUUUUAAUUCACUUUAACGGAAUAAUGAUCGUCUUUCCAUAUAGAAUGAUACCAAAAAGAUUCCAAAUAAAUAAGUAAAAUAUCCCUAAUUGGUUAUUACCAGAUUUGAAUUUAAAACUUUUUUGUACGAGAUAACAUUACGAUCUAAUUAAGUAUAGCGCUCGGAAAACACAUUGUAAAACGUUAAUAAAACAUAAUUUUAAGUUUUCUUUAUUUCAUUAAAAAAAAUCUUUGCGUUUUGCUAUGGAAGCAAUGGAAAAAGUAGGCAAGUGAACGAAAAUAUAGGUGAGUCUUUUGUGUUAACGAUUUUUUCAAAAACUUUCAAUCGGCUACUGUAAAGAGGACUGUGAAAUAACACAUUUUUCCUUUUAGGUUAAUGUUGAAGCAAUGGAGAAAACUGGCCCAAUUGAACGAGAAGAUCGGUGAGUCUUUUGUAUUAAUUAUUUUUUCAAAAACUCCCAAUUGAAUGUCAAGUAAUACACAUUUCUCCUUUUAGUUUAAUGAUACCUACGAUAUACAUAAGAAGAAUAGAAAAAAAUCAGCCAUGCAAGUGAAAGAAAUUAUCGGUGAAUCUUUUGUGUUAGUGAUUUUUUUCAAAAACCGUCCAUGUAGUGUAGUAAUAACAUAUCUUUCUCUGUUUAGAUUAUGGGAGAACAUAAGAAGCCUUGGAGAAAUUCAACUAAGGAACGAGAAUGUCGGUAUCUUUUGUGUUAAUGAUUAUUUUUGCAAAUUCAGUUUUCUUUAUUUCAUUAAAAAAAAUUAUUUGCGUUUUGCUAUGGAAAUAAUAGAAAAAGUAGCCAAGUGAACAGAAAUAUCGGUGAGUCUUUUGUGUUAACGAUUUUUUCAAAAACUUUCAUUCGACUGUAAACCGAGCUUGUAACGUACGCAUUUCUCCUUUUAGGUUAAUGUUGUAAGAAGCAAUGGAGAAAAUUGGCCCAAUUGAACGAGAAGAUCGGUGAGUCUUUUGUAUUAAUUAUUUUUUUCAAAAACUGACAACUGAGUGUUAAGUAAUACACAUUUCUCCUUUUAGUUUAAUGGUACCUACGAUAUACAUAAGAAGCAAUGGAAAAAAAUCAAACAAGCAAGUGAAAAAAAUUAUCGGUGAAUCUUUUGUGUUAAUGAUUUUUUCAAAAACUGUCCAUAUAGUGUAAAAUAACAUAUCUUUCUCUGUGUAGAUUAAUGGGAGAACAUAAGAAGCCUUGGAGAAAUUCAACUAAAGGAACGAGAAAGUCGGUAUCUUUUGUGUUAAUGAUUAUUUUUGCAAAUUAGGUUUUCUUUAUUUCAUUAAAAAAAAUUCUUUUCAUUUUGCUAUGGAAAUAAUAAAAAAGGUAACCAAGUGAACAAAAAUAUCGGUGAGUCUUUUGUGUUAACGAUUUUUUCAAAAACUUUCAUUCGACUGUAAAGCGAGCUGUAACGUACCCAUUUCUCCUUUUAGGUUAAUGCUGUAAGAGCAAUGGUGAAAAUUGGCCCAAUUGAACGAGAAGAUCGGUGAGUCUUUUGUAUUAAUUAUUUUUUCAAAAACUGCCAAUUGAGUGUUAAGUAAUUCUCAUUUCUCCUUUUAGUUUAAUGCUACCUACGAUACACAUAAGAAGCAGUGGAAAAAAACAACCAAGCAAGUGAAAGAAGUUAUCGGUGAAUCGAUUUUUUCAACAAUUUUCAAUCGACUGUAAAGCGAGCUGUAAAGUAACACAUUUCUCCUUUUAGGCUAAUAUUGUAAGAAGCAAUGGAGAAAAUUAGCCCAAAUGAACGAGAAGAUCGGUGAGUCUUUUGUAUUAAUUAUUUUUUCAUAAACUGCCAAUUGAGUGUUAAGUAAUACACAUGUCUCCUUUUAGUUUAAUGGUACUUACGAUAUAUAUAAGAAGCAAUGGAAAAAAUCAACAAAGCAAGUGAAAGAAAUGAUCAGUGAAUCUUUUGUGUUAAUGAUUUUGUCAAAAACUGCCCAUUUCGUGUAAAAUAACAUAUCUUUCUCUGUUUAGAUUAAUGGGAGAACAUAAGAAGCCUUGGAGAAAUUCAACUAAAGGAACGAGAAUGUUGGUAUCUUUUGUGUUAACGAUUAUUUUUGCAGAUUAGUGUAAAAUAAUUCACAUCUCUUCUUUUUUGCGAUGGUAAAAGAAGCAAGAGUGAAAAUUAACCAAGUGCACAAGAAGAUCGGUGAGUCUUUUCCGUUGAUGAUCAUGUCAUAAGAUUAAUGGAACGAUACAUAAGAAACAAUGGAGAAAAUCAACCAAGUGAAAGAAAAUUUCGGGGAGCCUUUCGUGAUGAUGAUGAUUUUUUCAUAAACUGACAAUUGAAUCUAAAAUAACUCUUCCUCUUUUUAGAUUAAUAGAAAAAUUCUGCAAAUCGAACGGAAAUACCUAUCAGUGUCUUUUGUAUUAACGAUUUUUUUUUUAAAAACCGACCAAAUGAAUAAAUUAAUGGUUAUGUGUUAAUGGUUUUUUUUAAACUGUCCAUUUAGUGUCAAAUAACUAAACAAAGCAUGGAUCUCUAAAUAAAUGUAGAAACAAAGGCUCGUUUCAUUCGCCUAAUAAUAUAAUUUCUCUGCUUAGUUUAAUGGCAUGGUACAUAAAGCAAUGGAGAAAUUUCACCAAAUGGACGAGACCGCCGAGUCUUUCGUAGUAGGUACUGAUUGUAUAAUAACUGUCAAUUGACUGUAAAAUAAUACUUUAGUUUAAUGUCGUAGAAAGCAAUGAAGAAAAUUAGCCCAUCAAGUGAACAAGAAUAUCGGUGACUUUUGUAUUCAUUAUUUUUUCAUAAACUGUUAAAUGGAUGUUAAGUAAUAUACAUUUUAGUUUUAGUUUAUUGGUAUAGUAUACGAUGCAAUGGUGAAACUCAACCAAGCGAAAGAAAAAAUAUCGGCGAGUCUUUUAUAUUAAUGAAUUUUUUCAAAAACUGGCAAUUGAAUGUAAAAUAACACAUCUUUCACUUCUUAGAUUAAUGGAAUGGGACAACAAACAACGCAGAAAGAAAUUCAGCCAAAUGAACCAAAAAUACCGAUGUUUUUGUAUUAACAACUUUUUUCAUAAACUGUUAUUAAGCUCGUAAUUGAGUGUAAAAUAAUACACAUUUCUCCUUUUAGUUUUAGGUUUAAUAUGGUAUAAAAAGCAAGCGAGAAAAUCAACCAAGUGACAGAAAAUAUCUGUGAAUCUUUUAUGUUAAUGUUCUUUCCAAAAACUGUCAAUCCAGGUAAAAUAAAUACAAAAAGAUUGAUCUCAUACGGGUAUGAAAGAACAAUCCCUACUCUCCUCACCGCUCCUUUUAUUAAUUAAAGCGCCCAAAGUCAUAGAAACAUUAGUUAGUGUAGUUUUGCGUACCGGAUUUGACUAAAUUCCUAAUUUUUUGUGCAGGUAAAAAUCGUUUCCGCAAUAAUGGUGACCUAAAUUCUGAAAGAAGAAAAAAAUUCGAAAAACCUUGUAAAUUUUGUUAGACGGGCUCGAUAUAAAAUGUUCAUGCCGCAUAUAACGUUUUAAUGUACAAUUAAAGGCACAAAAAAGUUUUUGAAUAUUCCAAGCCGCUUUUAAAGGAAGAGGCGAAUACACUUCAUGCCUUAACGAGAAUACAAACAUGAAAUAAUUUUUGAUUUCUGAUGUAAUGACACCAAUACUAAGUCUGUACGUGGUUUCGGGUGCCUUUGUGGCUCAGACAGACAUAUCAAGAGCGCAAAAGUGCACUUUUUAUUUUUUGAAAGUGAAAGUGCAUAAAACUAGCAGCGAGUCUUUUAUAUUAAUAAUUUUUUUUUAACUGUAAAGAGUGUAAAGCAAUUUCUCUGUUUAGAUUACUAGAAUCACUGAAGAUGCGCAAGGCUAAUAUUCAGGGUGAGUCUUCUAUAAUAAUAACUUUGUCAAAAACGAUCAAUUGAGUGUAAAGUAAUACGCAUUUCUCUUCUUAGAUUACCCAAUGGAAUGGGUAGAUAAGAAGUAAUGAAGAAAAUCAGUAAAGCGGACAAGACAAUUGUUGGUGCAUUUCGAGGAUGAAGAGAACAUGUUGAAGAAGACCGCGUACAUGCCAGAAAUGAAACACUUACAUUGUACACCUUAGGACUUACAUAGAUCACAUGUGG